rnacentral:rRNA from 1 species
CAGUCGAACGAGCGAGAGAGAGCUUGCUUUCUCGAGCGAGUGGCGAACGGGUGACUAUUGCGUGAGGAACCUGCCUCAAAGAGGGGGACAACAGUUGGAAACGACUGCUAAUACCGCAUAAGCCCACGGCUCGGCAUCGAGCAGGGGGAAAAGGAGUAAUCCGCUUUGAGAUGGCCUCGCGUCCGAUUAGCUAGUUGGUGAGGUAACGGCCCACCAAGGCGACGAUCGGUAGCCGGACUGAGAGGUUGAACGGCCACAUUGGGACUGAGACACGGCCCAGACUCCUACGGGAGGCAGCAGUGGGGAAUAUUGCACAAUGGGGGAAACCCUGAUGCAGCGACGCCGCGUGGAGGAAGAAGGUCUUCGGAUUGUAAACUCCUGUUGUUGGGGAAGAUAAUGACGGUACCCAACAAGGAAGUGACGGCUAACUACGUGCCAGCAGCCGCGGUAAAACGUAGGUCACAAGCGUUGUCCGGAAUUACUGGGUGUAAAGGGAGCGCAGGCGGGAAGACAAGUUGGAAGUGAAAUCUAUGGGCUCAACCCAUAAACUGCUUUCAAAACUGUUUUUCUUGAGUAGUGCAGAGGUAGGCGGAAUUCCCGGUGUAGCGGUGGAAUGCGUAGAUAUCGGGAGGAACACCAGUGGCGAAGGCGGCCUACUGGGCACCAACUGACGCUGAGGCUCGAAAGUGUGGGUAGCAAACAGGAUUAGAUACCCUGGUAGUCCACACCGUANACGAUGAUUACUAGGUGUUGGAGNAUUGACCCCUUCAGUGCCGCAGUUAACACAAUAAGUAAUCCACCUGGGGAGUACGACCGCAAGGUUGAAACUCA